AAUAAUGUGCACAGAAUGGUCAACGCUCUUUCACCUGCACCCAUCAGGAAACGGGAGAAAGCUUUGAAGUGGGACAUAUCAAGUUACGUACACAACUAUGAGGUUGAGAAUGAAGGG